ACGAGCGCAACCCUCGUUCUAUGUUGCCAGCACGUGAUGGUGGGGACUCAUAGGAGACUGCCGGGGUCAACUCGGAGGAAGGUGGGGAUGACGUCAAAUCAUCAUGCCCCUUAUGUCUUGGGCUUCACGCAUGCUACAAUGGCCGGUACAAAGGGCUGCGAUACCGCGAGGUGGAGCGAAUCCCAAAAAACCGGUCUCAGUUCGGAUUGGGGUCUGCAACUCGACCCCAUGAAGUCGGAGUCGCUAGUAAUCGCAGAUCAGCAACGCUGCGGUGAAUACGUUCCCGGGCCUUGUACACACCGCCCGUCAAGUCACGAAAGUCGGUAACACCCGAAGCCGGUGGCCCAACUCUUUGAGAGGGAGCCGUCGAAGGUGGGACUGGCGAUUGGGACUAAGUCGUAACAAGGUAGCCGUACCGGAAGGUGCGGCUGGAUCACCUCCUUUCUAAGGAG
rnacentral:rRNA from 1 species